rnacentral:rRNA from 1 species
UACGUAGGGUGCAAGCGUUGUCCGGAAUUAUUGGGCGUAAAGAGCUCGUAGGCGGUCUGUCGCGUCGGCUGUGAAAUCCCGGAGCUCAACUCCGGGUCUGCAGUCGAUACGGGCAAACUGGAGUACUGCAGGGGAGACUGGAAUUCCUGGUGUAGCGGUGAAAUGCGCAGAUAUCAGGAGGAACACCGGUGGCGAAGGCGGCCUUCUGGACAGUGACUGACGCUGAGACGCGAAAGCGUGGGGAGCAAACAGG